rnacentral:rRNA from 1 species
UGGGGAAUAUUGCACAAUGGGGGAAACCCUGAUGCAGCGACGCCGCGUGAGCGAUGAAGUAUUUCGGUAUGUAAAGCUCUAUCAGCAGGGAAGAUAAUGACGGUACCUGACUAAGAAGCUCCGGCUAAAUACGUGCCAGCAGCCGCGGUAAUACGUAUGGAGCAAGCGUUAUCCGGAUUUACUGGGUGUAAAGGGAGCGUAGGCGGUCCUGCAAGUCUGAUGUGAAAACCCGGGGCUCAACCCCGGGACUGCAUUGGAAACUGUAGGACUAGAGUGUCGGAGGGGUAAGUGGAAUUCCUAGUGUAGCGGUGAAAUGCGUAGAUAUUAGGAGGAACACCAGUGGCGAAGGCGGCUUACUGGACGACCACUGACGCUGAGGCUCGAAAGCGUGGGGAGCAAACAGG